CUUUUUUAAAUAAAAAUUAUUUUAGUUUUCACGAAGUCCCUUGAGCUAAAAUGUAAAGUUUUUUAGAAAAUAAUUUGAUUGUGGUAAUAAUCAAAAAAUAUAAUAUUUUAGGGGUGAUAGGCCUAUCAAAAUGGACGAUAUCUUGAUAGUUGGGAAAAAUAUUUAGUAUUUAGUCAAACUAAGAUUGUUUAGGAUAUUAGUAUACAAUAAUUAUUGUUUAUUUUAUGUUAAAUAUAUAAUAGUUUUAACUUAUUAGAUUUAAAUACUACUUAAAUUAAUAUUUUGUAAAAUACCAACUUAUUAUUAUGUAAUCUAAAACAAAAUUAAAAAUGAAAAUAUUAGUAUUAUAUAAAAAUUAUAUCAGGAACUCGGCAAAUUUUUACUCGACUGUUUAACAAAAACAUGCCCUUUGAAUUUAUUUGGGGUUUUCCCUGCUCAAUGAACUUUAAAUAGCCGCAGUACUUUGACUGUGCAAAGGUAGCAUAAUCAGUUGGCUUAUAAUUGAAGUCUAGUAUGAAUGGGAUACCGGGUAGUAACUGUCUAAUAAAAUUUACAUAAAAUUUACUUAAUAAGUGAAAAUUCUUAUAUAUAGAUGUUAGACGAGAAGACCCUAGAAAUUUUUUAAAUUAUUAUGUUUUCUAUUUUGUUGGGGCGACAGGUUAACAUAUAACUUAACUAUUUUACACGUUAUUAUUUUGUUGUUUGAAUAAAUUACUCUAGGGAUAACAGCAUUAUUUAUUAUAAGUUUGUGACCUCGAUGUUGGACUAGGGAAUAAUUUACGUAGAAGGUAAUUUUGUGGGCUCUGUUCGAGCUUUUUUCCCCUACAUGAUCUGAGUUCAGACCGG
rnacentral:rRNA from 1 species